AACGAACGCUGGCGGCAUGCCUAACACAUGCCAGUCGAACGAGACCUUCGGGUCUAGUGGCGCACGGGUGCGUAACGCGUGGGAAUCUGCCCUUGGGUUCGGAAUAACAGUUGGAAACGACUGCUAAUACCGGAUGAUGACGUAAGUCCAAAGAUUUAUCGCCCAAGGAUGAGCCCGCGUAGGAUUAGCUAGUUGGUGAGGUAAAGGCUCACCAAGGCGACGAUCCUUAGCUGGUCUGAGAGGAUGAUCAGCCACACUGGGACUGAGACACGGCCCAGACUCCUACGGGAGGCAGCAGUGGGGAAUAUUGGACAAUGGGCGAGAGCCUGAUCCAGCAAUGCCGCGUGAGUGAUGAAGGCCUUAGGGUUGUAAAGCUCUUUUACCCGGGAUGAUAAUGACAGUACCGGGAGAAUAAGCUCCGGCUAACUCCGUG
rnacentral:rRNA from 1 species